rnacentral:rRNA from 1 species
GACGAACGCUGGCGGCGUGCUUAACACAUGCAAGUCGAACGAUGAACCACUUCGGUGGGGAUUAGUGGCGAACGGGUGAGUAACACGUGGGCAAUCUGCCCUUCACUCUGGGACAAGCCCUGGAAACGGGGUCUAAUACCGGAUAACACUGCCACGGGCAUCUGUGGUGGUUAAAAGCUCCGGCGGUGAAGGAUGAGCCCGCGGCCUAUCAGCUUGUUGGUGAGGUAAUGGCNCACCAAGGCGACGACGGGUAGCCGGCCUGAGAGGGCGACCGGCCACACUGGGACUGAGACACGGCCCAGACUCCUACGGGAGGCAGCAGUGGGGAAUUUUGCGCAAUGGGGGAAACCCUGACGCAGCAACGCCGCGUGGAGGAUGAAAUCCCUUGGGAUGUAAACCCCUUUCGAUCGGGAAGAUAAAUGACGGUACCGAGAGAAGAAGCCCCGGCUAACUUCGU